ensembl:snoRNA
AAGAGAAGUCAAUGAUGGUUUUAACCUAAAAUGUCUGAACCCGUUUGAAGCAUUGUAAUGCAGUCUUUUUGCCAUUCUGAGACUUGGGAGAUA